AUGGGGGUCCCGUCGAUGAAUGUCAUGGAAGUCGAUGGAGCUCCUCGGUCGGUGGCGGGCAACAUUGCGGAGGUUGAGGACGACCGAAGAGGAGAGAUGGUAGUGGAACUGCCGCUUGAAGGGUCAACGCGGGCUGCGGAUUUCAUGGAGGCAGAUAUGAUUGUGCCGACGACUGAAGAGAGGCAGGGGAGGGGGUGGAUCUGUCGCAUGGAUGGCUGA
rnacentral:rRNA from 1 species